rnacentral:rRNA from 1 species
CCUACGGGUGGCAGCAGUCGAGAAUCAUUCACAAUGGGGGAAACCCUGAUGGUGCGACGCCGCGUGUGGGAAGACGGUCCUCUGGAUUGUAAACCACUGUCCCCAGGGACGAAGAUGACGGUACCUGGGGAGUAAGCUCCGGCUAACUACGUGCCAGCAGCCGCGGUACUACGCGGGGAGCGAGCGUUGUCCGGAAUUACGGGGGGUAAAGGGAGCGUAGGCGGGACUGCAAGUUGGGUGUCAAAUCUACGGGCUCAACCGGUAGCCGCGCGCAACACUGCAGUUCUUGAGUGAAGUAUAGGCAGGCGGAAUUCCUGGGGUAGCGGUGAAAUGCGUAGAUAUUAGGAGGAACACCAGUGGCGAAGGCGGCCUGCUGGGCUUUUACUGACGCUGAGGCUCGAAAGUGUGGGGAGCAAACAGGAUUAGAUACCCGGGUAGUC